UUUGUAUUAUUUUUUUGUUUACUUGACACUUCAUAUAUAACUCACUAAUUUCAUUUUAUCAGUUGUAUAUAGGUACAUACAUAACCAUAUGUAUGUAUGUUAAUAGGUGUAUAUGAGUCGGUGUUAAAAUUAACGCAGACUGGCCGAAAAAUCUAAUCCUAAUUGCAUAAUUGUAUCACUGACUUGAAAGGGUUUCAUAAUUUGUGGAUUGUUCCAAAUCCGCAACAAACUCAAAAUUGUCUGCUUUGUAAUAUAAGGUUGAAAUUCAAUUGGAAUGCGUUGGUUAUCUCAACUACCUGUCAAUGCUUUUUUAAUUUUUUCUCUUUUCCUUUACACAUUUGCUCUCCCAUAUUUAAUUCAAAAUAUGUCGUUAUUAUUCUCCGCGUUUAUUUACUCUUAAGGGUGCGCCUCUAGAAUUUCAAUUGAAUACCUCCGCCUUGGGGCAAUAAGACUUAUUUUGCAUUAUUUAUUUUCUCGCUAACCUUCAUGUUUAUAAUAACUCCGAAAAGUGUAUUUAUUGUUUCCUAAGAAAUCGGAGCCGCAUCUCCAUCACAACUCGCUGAGCAUCGACACUAAACCGUGAGCACAUCUAAGUGUGUGUUUAUGUACAUACAUAUGUAUAUAUUUAUGUACAUGCAUUUGGCUUCAUACCUGUCCGUACAAGUAUUCAAGUUGUGAAACCACAAUAAACCUCGACUGAGUCAAACGUCGACGCUAUGGUUUCGUCAUCAUCAGCUCUGCCAGUUGUUCAUAAUGAAGGUGUUCUCGACUGGAAGAUCGGAAUUUCUGGUUAUUGUUGUUGGUUUAAUGUUCGUUACGUCGUUUUGGCUGUUUUGUAUUACUUAUUGCUUUAUUUGUUUUGUUUAGCAUAGGGUACUUUCAACUGGCGUUUAUUUUAUCAACUUUUCUACAUCUUCACUGUUUUCAGUUAUUGCUUUCUUUUUCAUUUCGUCUUCUUUCGUUAUGUGAACACCCGCUCCUAACCUGCCUUGUUUUAUAAUUGGCUAGCUGAACCGUUUGGUCGUUGUUUUUUGUGGCGGCAACGUUGUCAAGUUAUUCCUACGAGUAUAUUCUGAGUCAACUCCACGGCUCACUCGGUAUGCACUGUUGUACUCGAAACCGUCGACUUCAAAUCCAACUCUGGCUCUUGCCUGUUGUGUGUGUUCUCUAUUCUAAUCGCUGUUUACUGCCGGUCAUUGGACUCCAUUCUGCUUCCAAUUUGUUCCUUACGUUUAUAUUCUGGUCAUAUACUUUAAACACUGGAUAGCGCUGUUCUACGUCAACAGUAGUUGAAUUACAACAAUUCAAAUAUACAUAUUUACAAUAUUUUUAAUUGGUCUUUAUUUCGAUCACUACUGUCUUGAUAUGUGGUUAUUUCGACACAAUUUUCACACAAAACAAAUACCAUUUUUGCAUUCAAAAGGAAAAUGAAACUAUUUUUAAUUUCUUAAUUAAAUUUGAUUGUUUAGUAUAAAGAUCCGCAUAAUUCGGUUAGAAAAUGCUAGAGGUCUAAAAUUGACCUUAUGUGUAAAUGACCUUACUAUUCCAUACUGAAUUAUUGCGAUCUCUGAAGUAGGUAGCCACGAAUAACAUUAAAUGGAUUGUUUGUUACACUUUUGUUUCAAAUUAUCAGUUGUGUAACUUUUAGGGGUGGUUUGAUAAAUAUUCCCAUAUCAUUUUCCCUAAUAAAUUGCUACAUUUAUUUUCAUUACAUAACUGUACUUGCAGUUAGUUCGAUUUUUAUUCCCACACUUUCGUAAUGAACGUGCUGAUUAAUUUUUAUAUAAUUAUAUAAUUUUUAUAAAAUUAUUUAUGUAGAUUGGUUUUGAUUUAAUAUUACAAUAGGUAAUAGUGGAAACAUACAUUUACAAUUGUCGACAGGCACAUUUUUAGUGCAUUACUAAAUAAAAAACAAGUAAGGAAGAGCUAAGUUCAGGUGUCACCGAACAUUUUAUACUCUCGCAUGAUAAAGUGAUAAUCGAAAUUUCAUUAUCCGUCAUUUACAUAUUUUUUUAUUUUGCUGUAAAAUUAAUUAGAAUUAAAUUCUGAGAGAUUUACCGAUAUUUUCGGUGAAAAAUUAGGUUAGGUUAGGUUAGGCACUGAGUUCUUCGUGUUCGAUAUCAGGGACCUUCAAAAUUUAUAGUCCGAUCCACAAGGGAUACCUCUGCUCAAAUACCGUAUUUGUGUAAAGUUUUAUUCCGCUAUUAACAUUGGUGCCUAAUGUAUAUAUUAUACAGAGAAGGCAUCAGACGGAAUUCAAAAUAGCGUUAUAUUGGAAGAAAUCGUGGUUGUGAACCGAUUUCACCCAUAUUUCGUACAUGUCGUUAGGGUGUUAAGAAAAUAUUAUAUACCAAAUUUCAUUGAAAUCGGUCGAGUAGUUCCUGAGAUAUGGUUUUUGGUCCAUAAGUGAGCAAUGCCACGCCCAUUUUCAAUUUAAAAAAAAAGCCUGGGUGCAGCUUCCUUCUGCCAUUUCUUCCGAAAAAUUUAGUGUUUCUGACGUUUCUUGUUAGUCGGUUAACGCACUUUUGUGCGUGGUUAUUAUCCGAUUUCUUCCAUUUUUGAACUGUAUAUGGAAAUGCCUGAAGGAAACGACUCUAUACAGUUUGGUUGACAUAGCUAUAGUAGUUUCCGAGAUAUGUACAAAAAACGUAGUAGGGGGCGGGGCCACGCCCCCUUUUCUAAAAAAAUUACGUCCAAAUAUGCUCCUUCCUAACGCGAUCCUUUGUGCCAAAUUUCACUUUAAUAUCUUUAUUUAUAGCUUAGUUAUGACACUUUAUAAGUUUUCGGUUUCCGCCAUUUUGUGGGCGUGGCAGUGGGCCGAUUUUGCCCAUCUUCGAACAUAACCUUCUUAUGGAGCCAAGAAAUACGUGUACCAAGUUUCAUCAUGAUAUCUCAAUUUUUACUCAAGUUACAGCUUGCACGGACGAACGGACAGACGGACGGACGGACAGACAGACAUCCGGAUUUUAACUCUACUCGUCACCCUGAUCACUUUGGUAUAUACAUAUAACCCUAUAUCUGACUCAUUUAGUUUUAGGACUUACAAACAACCGUUAUGUGAACAAAACUAUAAUACUCUCCUUAGCAACUUUGUUGCGAGAGUAUAAAAAAGCAGGUUCUUUAAACCCAGGUUCAGCCUACGUGAUUGACACAACCAAAAAAUAACUUUCGUUUGAAGGCUUACAGUACAUACAAAGAAGUUAUGUUGUUCCUAAAGUAAGCCAAGUAAACAGUUGUCUUGUAGCCGCCUUAUUUACUCAAGCAUUUGAGAUUGCGUUACCAAGCAGUACAACUAUAUUUGCUUUUCACAUAUUUUUAGUAUUUUGAGGUAACAUGUUCUUGCCUAUAGUUUUGUAAACAUGUAGAUGAUUGCGUUUCUUGUAACAAAGUUACAAUAUUUUUGCCUUUUUAAUUGUUUAUAGUGCUCUACUUUGUUACCUAUAAUUGCCUUUAUUUCAUAUCAAAAAGUAAAUAUUUUGUGUAAAUUAUUGCCACCAGGGUGACUAUGAAAUACAUAUGUAUGUGUGCGGAAUGUACUGAUAAAGAAGUACUUAUGGGCAACUUUAUAAUCGAGUUUUAAUCACGUAACUCGGCUAUAACCGCGUAAGCGGUGUCUACGCAUAUAAAAAAGAAGAAGCAGAUAUAUGUAACGGGUGAUUUUUUUGAGGUUAGGAUUUUCAUGCAUUAGUAUUUGACAGAUCACGUGGGAUUUCAGACAUGGUGUCAAAGAGAAAGAUGCUCAGUAUGCUUUGACAUUUCAUCAUGAAUAGACUUACUAACGAGCAACGCUUGCAAAUCAUUGAAUUUUAUUACCAAAAUCAGUGUUCGGUUCGAAAUGUGUUUCGCGCUUUACGUCCGACAAAUUUUGUUCAGCGAUGAGGCUCAUUUCUGGUUGAAUGGCUACGUAAAUAAGCAAAAUUGCCGCAUUUGGGGUGAAGAGCAACCAGAAGCCGUUCAAGAACUGCCCAUGCAUCCCGAAAAAUGCACUGUUUGGUGUGGUUUGUACGCUGGUGGAAUCAUUGGACCGUAUUUUUUCAAAGAUGCUGUUGGACGCAACGUUACGGUGAAUGGCGAUCGCUAUCGUUCGAUGCUAACAAACUUUUUGUUGCCAAAAAUGGAAGAACUGAACUUGGUUGACAUGUGGUUUCAACAAGAUGGCGCUACAUGCCACACAGCUCGCGAUUCUAUGGCCAUUUUGAGGGAAAACUUCGGACAACAAUUCAUCUCAAGAAAUGGACCCGUAAGUUGGCCACCAAGAUCAUGCGAUUUAACGCCUUUAGACUAUUUUUUGUGGGGCUACGUCAAGUCUAAAGUCUACAGAAAUAAGCCAGCAACUAUUCCAGCUUUGGAAGACAACAUUUCCGAAGAAAUUCGGGCUAUUCCGGCCGAAAUGCUCGAAAAAGUUGCCCAAAAUUGGACUUUCCGAAUGGACCACCUAAGACGCAGCCGCGGUCAACAUUUAAAUGAAAUUAUCUUCAAAAAGUAAAUGUCAUGAACCAAUCUAACGUUUCAAAUAAAGAACCGAUGAGAUUUUGCAAA